rnacentral:rRNA from 1 species
GACGUAGGGCGCGAGCGUUGUCCGGAAUUAUUGGGCGUAAAGAGCUCGUAGGCGGCCUGUCGCGUCGGUUGUGAAAGCCCGGGGCUCAACCCCCGGGUCUGCAGUCGAUACGGGCAGGCUAGAGUUCGGUAGGGGAGACUGGAAUUCCUGGUGUAGCGGUGAAAUGCGCAGAUAUCAGGAGGAACACCGGUGGCGAAGGCGGGUCUCUGGGCCGAUACUGACGCUGAGGAGCGAAAGCGUGGGGAGCGAACAGG